rnacentral:rRNA from 2 species
UCCCACCCCUUCCCAUCCCGAACAGGACCGUGAAACGACUCUACGCCGAUGAUAGUGCGGAUUCCCGUGUGAAAGUAGGUAAUCGUCAGGC